CCUCAACCUUCGCCAUUUCGGCGUCGACCUGGGCGAUGGAUAGCUCCUCUUCGACUUCGGCGAGCUUCUCCAGGCUGACCCGAAGUUGCUCGCGUUCCCCUUGGAGUUCGGCGGUGGCACCGUCUCGUUCGCGCCGAAGACGACGCACGGCCCGACCCUUAUGUUUGGCCUCCUUCUUGGCCGAUCGAAGUUCGGACCCAAGUCGGGAGACCUCGUCAGCUAACUUGGCCUCCCGAUCGGCCGAUUGCUGAAGUUGGUCGGCCAACAUCGCCCUCUCAGCUUCGGCCGCCGCCGACCUCUCCUUGUAAGCUGCCCGAACGUUGCCGAACCUUUGGUACCCGGCCUCCAGUUCAGACAUCGUGAAGAUCAGCUGCCGAUGGAAAAAGCUUCGUCAGGCUCGCAUAGCAAACAAAAAUUUCUAAGGGAAA
rnacentral:lncRNA from 1 species